UCCUGUGAUCCUGUCCUCUGGGGUGUUAGCCACCCCUCCCAGUUUGCAGAUGACACCAAACUGGGAGGGGUGGCUAACACCCCAGAGGACAGGAUCACACUU